rnacentral:lncRNA from 1 species
GACGGGAGGAACAGAGCGAGACGCGGGAGAGAGAACGGUGGAUAUACACUCGGCGUGAGAACUAUGUUUCGCCAAGCAGGUGUGAAGUCCAUCAACCGCACGACUGUAAGAUAUGCACGCGAUGUUUAUGAUUAACUAAAAUUUGUUUCUUUCAUCGUUCCUGUUGCUGCUGACAGCGGCCGCACAAGCAGCGAGCUUCUGCCCAGAGGAUCAUGUCAUUUCUCCAUGCACCUGCCUCAAUGAUCACGACGGCGCGAGCGUCAGUUGCUACGGCGGGUACAUGUCAGCGGCAGAGAUGACGGCCAUCGUUGGCCGCUUGCAGAACACGACGAUGAGUCGCCUUCAGAUCUACAGCUUCAGCGACCUGACCGAGAUACCGGCAGGCAUGUUCCGCGGCAUGAAGAUAGUUUCGC